rnacentral:tRNA from 1 species
AUCUAUAUAAUAUAAACUAUUAUAUUUGAUUUCCAAUCAAAAAACCUAAACCUUUAGUAUAGAUA